rnacentral:rRNA from 1 species
CCUACGGGUGGCAGCAGUGGGGAAUAUUGCACAAUGGGGGAAACCCUGAUGCAGCGACGCCGCGUGAGUGAAGAAGUAAUUCGGUAUGUAAACUUCUAUCAGCAGGGAAGAAAAUGACGGUACAUGAGUGAGAAGCCCCGGCUAACUACGUGCCAGUAGCCGCGGUAAUACGUAGGGGGCAAGCGUUAUCCGGAUUUACUGGGUGUAAAGGGAGCGUAGGCGGGUUAGCAAGUCAGAAGUGAAAGCCCGGGGCCCAACUCCGGGACUGCUUUUGAAACUGUUGAACUAGAGUGCAGGAGAGGUAAGUGGAAUUCCUAGUGUAGCGGUGAAAUGCGUAGAUAUUAGGAGGAACACCAGUGGCGAAGGCGGCUUACUGGACUGUAAAUGACGCUGAGGCUCGAAAGCGUGGGGAGCAAACAGGAUUAGAUACCCCAGUAGUC